UAAAUAUCUAUAAAUACAUCAUUUUAUUAUAAUACAAAAUUCAUUAAGGAUUUCGUUUAUCAAGU